GAGUAGCACAGCGGUAGUGCAAUCGGCUGUUAACCGAUCGGUCGCAGGUUCGAAUCCUGCCUC
rnacentral:tRNA from 1 species